ACGUCGUAACAGGUUUCCGUAGGUGAACCUGCGGAAGGAUCAUUA
rnacentral:rRNA from 1 species